CUUCCACCUACCAGUUUACUCCCCAAAUGACACAGUGGCUGGAGCUGAGCUGAUCAGGAGCCAGGAGAUUCUGUUGGAUCUCGCACACAGGUGCCCCUCCCAACAUCUGAUUGGAAAUCAUUUUCCUUACCUAUUUUGAGUAGGCUUUUAGUUGAAGCCUAAAAAGUAAGAGGUUACACUGUGAACUAAUGGUGUGAUUUAGCUUAGUUCACAUCUGUUGCAUUCAAGCUGUGGGUUACUUUUCUCCCUAUGAGAUUCCAAGCCAUGUGAAAAGGAGUUUGUAUGUGUAGUUGAAACUAAUUCAUGACCCAAAUUAGUUCUUUCCUACAUACUGGGUAGUAAGAGAGGUUAAAUGAGUCAAGUUCUCAGGAAAUUUUUUCGCUCAUAGUUUAUUACACUAAUAUGUUCUGUAAGUAUUAGAGACAAGAUUCUGGAAGCUGAGAGUAGCGAGUGUUAAAUGCAAGUAUAGCUAUUGAGAUUGAAAUGAGUUUUUGAGCCUAAAAGAAGCUUGUUUGGCUUUUUAAUCCUUUCAUAUUUAGACAGUAACUUGAGUUCUGAGAGUAGGAGUCUAAGUUUGGAGGUGGUAAGAAGGGAUUGUUUUUGCAAUUUUGUCUCAAAAAAAGGAGUACAGGAUGAGGUGUUUAUGUAUUCUGGCAUUUUUCUUAGUCCAGUGUUUAUGAACUUGAGUUCUCAUUGAAUAAACCUGUUGCUUAAUAGGCUGUAACUUGCAAUAUAACAUGAACAAUUUUUGAAGGGUUGUUUUGUAAACUUGU